AUGGGGAAACCCAGUGUGAUUCGUCACACUAUCGUUAACUGAAUACAUAGGUUAACGAGGCGAACCGGGGGAACUGAAACAUCUAAGUACCCCGAGGAAAAGAAAUCAACCGAGAUUCCCCCAGUAGCGGCGAGCGAACGGGGAGCAGCCCAGAGUCUGAAUCAGCUUGUGUGUUAGUGGAACGGUCUGGAAAGUCCGACGGUACAGGGUGAUAGUCCCGUACACCAAAAUGCACAGGCUGUGAACUCGAAGAGUAGGGCGGGACACGUGGUAUCCUGUCUGAAUAUGGGGGGACCAUCCUCCAAGGCUAAAUACUCCUGACUGACCGAUAGUGAACCAGUACCGUGAGGGAAAGGCGAAAAGAACCCCGGCGAGGGGAGUGAAAAAGAACCUGAAACCGUGUACGUACAAGCAGUGGGAGCACCUUCGGGUGUGACUGCGUACCUUUUGUAUAAUGGGUCAGCGACUUAUAUUCUGUAGCAAGGUUAACCGUAUAGGGGAGCCGCAGGGAAACCGAGUCUUAACUGGGCGUUAAGUUGCAGGGUAUAGACCCGAAACCCGGUGAUCUAGCCAUGGGCAGGUUGAAGGUUGGGUAACACUAACUGGAGGACCGAACCGACUAAUGUUGAAAAAUUAGCGGAUGACUUGUGGCUGGGGGUGAAAGGCCAAUCAAACCGGGAGAUAGCUGGUUCUCCCCGAAAGCUAUUUAGGUAGCGCCUCGUGAACUCAUCUUCGGGGGUAGAGCACUGUUUCGGCUAGGGGGUCAUCCCGACUUACCAACCCGAUGCAAACUACGAAUACCGAAGAAUGUUAUCACGGGAGACACACGGCGGGUGCUAACGUCCGUCGUGAAGAGGGAAACAACCCAGACCGCCAGCUAAGGUCCCAAAGUCAUGGUUAAGUGGGAAACGAUGUGGGAAGGCACAGACAGCCAGGAUGUUGGCUUAGAAGCAGCCAUCAUUUAAAGAAAGCGUAAUAGCUCACUGGUCGAGUCGGCCUGCGCGGAAGAUGUAACGGGGCUAAACCAUGCACCGAAGCUGCGGCAGCGACACUAUGUGUUGUUGGGUAGGGGAGCGUUCUGUAAGCCUGCGAAGGUGACCUGUGAGGGUUGCUGGAGGUAUCAGAAGUGCGAAUGCUGACAUAAGUAACGAUAAAGCGGGUGAAAAGCCCGCUCGCCGGAAGACCAAGGGUUCCUGUCCAACGUUAAUCGGGGCAGGGUGAGUCGACCCCUAAGGCGAGGCCGAAAGGCGUAGUCGAUGGGAAACAGGUUAAUAUUCCUGUACUUGGUGUUACUGCGAAGGGGGGACGGAGAAGGCUAUGUUAGCCGGGCGACGGUUGUCCCGGUUUAAGCAUGUAGGCUGGUUAUCCAGGCAAAUCCGGAUAAUCAAGGCUGAGGUGUGAUGACGAGGCACUACGGUGCUGAAGUAACAAAUGCCCUGCUUCCAGGAAAAGCCUCUAAGCAUCAGGUAACAUCAAAUCGUACCCCAAACCGACACAGGUGGUCAGGUAGAGAAUACCAAGGCGCUUGAGAGAACUCGGGUGAAGGAACUAGGCAAAAUGGUGCCGUAACUUCGGGAGAAGGCACGCUGGUGUGUAGGUGAAGUCCCUGCGGAUGGAGCUGAGACCAGUCGAAGAUACCAGCUGGCUGCAACUGUUUAUUAAAAACACAGCACUGUGCAAACACGAAAGUGGACGUAUACGGUGUGACGCCUGCCCGGUGCCGGAAGGUUAAUUGAUGGGGUUAUCCGUAAGGAGAAGCUCUUGAUCGAAGCCCCGGUAAACGGCGGCCGUAACUAUAACGGUCCUAAGGUAGCGAAAUUCCUUGUCGGGUAAGUUCCGACCUGCACGAAUGGCGUAAUGAUGGCCAGGCUGUCUCCACCCGAGACUCAGUGAAAUUGAACUCGCUGUGAAGAUGCAGUGUACCCGCGGCAAGACGGAAAGACCCCGUGAACCUUUACUAUAGCUUGACACUGAACAUUGAGCCUUGAUGUGUAGGAUAGGUGGGAGGCUUUGAAGCGUGGACGCCAGUCUGCGUGGAGCCAACCUUGAAAUACCACCCUUUAAUGUUUGAUGUUCUAACGUUGGCCCCUGACCGGGGUUGCGGACAGUGUCUGGUGGGUAGUUUGACUGGGGCGGUCUCCUCCCAAAGCGUAACGGAGGAGCACGAAGGUUAGCUAAUCCUGGUCGGACAUCAGGAGGUUAGUGCAAUGGCAUAAGCUAGCUUGACUGCGAGCGUGACGGCGCGAGCAGGUGCGAAAGCAGGUCAUAGUGAUCCGGUGGUUCUGAAUGGAAGGGCCAUCGCUCAACGGAUAAAAGGUACUCCGGGGAUAACAGGCUGAUACCGCCCAAGAGUUCAUAUCGACGGCGGUGUUUGGCACCUCGAUGUCGGCUCAUCACAUCCUGGGGCUGAAGUAGGUCCCAAGGGUAUGGCUGUUCGCCAUUUAAAGUGGUACGCGAGCUGGGUUUAGAACGUCGUGAGACAGUUCGGUCCCUAUCUGCCGUGGGCGCUGGAGAAUUGAGGGGGGCUGCUCCUAGUACGAGAGGACCGGAGUGGACGCAUCACUGGUGUUCGGGUUGUCAUGCCAAUGGCACUGCCCGGUAGCUAAAUGCGGAAGAGAUAAGUGCUGAAAGCAUCUAAGCACGAAACUUGCCCCGAGAUGAGUUCUCCCUGAGACUUUAAGUCUCCUGAAGGAACGUUAAAGACGAUGACGUUGAUAGGCCGGGUGUGUAAGCGCAGCGAUGCGUUGAGCUAACCGGUACUAAUGAACCGUGAGGCUUAACCUU
rnacentral:rRNA from 1 species